GGAGGUCCCCAGGGGGUGCUGGGAUGUGGUAGCGCGGCGCUGAGCUCCGCGCGGUGCUCAGUUCCCCACCGGAGCCGCAGAGCUGCGGGAGGGCGCGGAACUCCGCGCGGUGCUGAGCGGAGCUGACCCCGGAGCUGCCUGUGCCGGGACGUCGCUUCGUGAGCGCGCACAGCCUGCGGUCUGAACUGGCGACGAGCAGAGGGAUACGGGAGUGCCUGCGGCAGAGAAGGAGCAGGCAAGGCGUGGCCAUUGCUUCCUGACCUCAGAGAUGGCGUCAGAGAACCCCGAUGAGAAACAGGGAGCGCUCCAGAGCGAGAAGCCGGGCUGCUCAGCAUGGGCAGUGCGGGACACCAGCACCCCCGGGAGGGCCGUUUAGAUGAGUGCUGCUGUCCUCCCGCAGAAGGGUGCACUGUAUCCGGUGUCAGUCUGGCUUCGAUUCAAGAGAUCUUGGACCAAAGGAUCAUGGGGAAUUACCUGCACACUGAUAUUUAUACAAUGAAAAUUGCAUGCUUUGUGAAAUUCUUGACACGUAAUGCAGUAUCAGCCCUAGGCAAAAUGGUGGAAGGGUUGUUCUUGCACACUGUGAGAGGGAGUGAUGAUUGCCAUUGACUAUGCAAGCACUGUACAUUUCUGAGCAAGAUCAUAAGUCUAUUCAUAAUACCAGUGGAGGUACGAUGUUAUAUUAUGCAAUUUGCUUACCUGUUUUAUUCCUUGCAGUACUGUGGUCUUUUAAAAUCUCCUUGCUAAUAGAUUACAACUUCAUGAAGUUAUAUUGUCAAUUCUGUGUUGAAGGACAAAAGCUGGAUCUUAGGCAGAGCUAUGGUCAUGUCUUUCUUUAAAAAUACCUAAGCUGUCUGAAAAAUGCCUUUAAUGAAGUCUUCUCCUUGGCAGGAAUGUGCUUUUCUACUUCAAAUCAAGUGAUGCUGACCCCCUGGCUUUCAUCUUCUUGGUGGGAAGCACUCCUCAUCUCCUUACCCACCAUUAGACUUCCUGUAGUAGCUGGUGCUUUUCUUAUUUCAAGUAAUACUUUACCAAACAUAUACGUUGCACUUACAUUCAGCAAUUCACUUGACAUUUUAUGAAUAAACAUGGAUUGUGAC
rnacentral:lncRNA from 7 species